GCAGCAGACGGGCGGGCCGUGCCUGAAUUCAGACCGGACCAGACUCUUCUUUGUUUGAGCUGCUCCC
rnacentral:tRNA from 1 species